rnacentral:rRNA from 1 species
GACAGAGGGUGCAAACGUUGCUCGGAAUUACUGGGCGUAAAGGGCGUGUAGGCGGGAAGGCAAGUCGGGCGUGAAAGCCCCAGGCUCAACCUGGGAACUGCACUCGAAACUGCCUUUCUUGAGUGCCGGAGAGGAAAGCGGAAUUCCUGGUGUAGAGGUGAAAUUCGUAGAUACUCGAGGAGGACACCGAUGGCGAAGGCAGGUCUCUGGGCCGAUACUGACGCUGAGGAGCGAAAGCGUGGGGAGCGAACAGG